CUGUGUGCAAACCCAACACCUUCUCCAACGAACCACGCCACAAUCCCGUCAUACACUAGCCCUAAUUCCAACUUCGCUCCCUACAUUUCCAGAGCACCAGAUACUAUGUGUGCAAACUCAACACCUUCUUCAACGAACCACGUCACAAUCCCAUUAUACACUAACCCUAAUUCCAACUUCACUACAAAGUCACACUCCCAAAUGUUCAAUCCUUCACAAGAUUCCACCAAUUUCACCUAUCACAUUCCUUAUCAAUCCAACACCAUAAACCCUAACAGUAACCAACGUUGGUUGUUUCCUCCACCAGUGGUUCCCUCUGCAGUAGCCUUCGAUCCAGCCAUUCGCCCGCCUGGAACUGAACCAAAUGUCAAUUCAGGCUCAUACUCGUGGACCCAUGUUGUAUUCCAAGCUCAAACGCCAUUUGUUGAAGACCCAAAUGCUGGGUCUCAGAAUGGGGCUAUCCAACAAGCUGAACCUGUUGGACACGAAGCUUCUAUCAAGUCUCUGAAUGAGAGUUUGUUAGUGCCCACCACUUCAAAUUCUUUGUGGAAUAGCAAUGGGACAAAUCGGUGUGAUGUUUGUAAUAUCAGUUGUAGUAGCAAAGAAAAUUACGAGGCACACAUAUUGGGAAAGAAACACCAAAAAAAAAUCAGAAUGCAAUAUAAUCCCACUGCUGCAACCUCUAAUGUUCUAAACAAUAUCAGUCUGCCAAGCCAAACAAGCAGUGUAGGUGGGCAAGUGAUAUUUGGGGGUUCAGGUGUGGCUGCUGGUGCAGAAUUGGAAACAAAGAGACGUAAGGUUGUGAAUGGUGGUGCAGCAGUUGAUUCCAUGGUGGUUUGCACAAUAUGCAACGUUGUUUGCAAUAGCCAAGAAGUUUACAUUAAGCACCUGGCUGGUAAAAGGCACAGGGCGCAGGCUAGCUUAGUGGCUCCAAAUGUUGGCCCAUAUUUUGCUGCAGUUCAAUCUGAAGUUACUGGCAUUUGGAGUAAAGAUCCAAAUAAAAUCAAACUGAUUCAGUCUGCAUGGUGUGAAGUUUGUAAAGUCAAUUGUAACAGCAAUGACACCUACAUCAAACACCUAGUUGGAAAGAAACAUCAAAAGAACUUGGAGCAACUUGAAAAGUUAAAGAAUGAUGGCAGUGCCUCAACCUCAAAUGUUCCAUCAGUUGCAACAAAUGCAAUAAUUGGACCAAUGGAAAACCCAGGAGCCAAGGGUUCCCAGCCAGAGGAGGAUUUGGAGACAAAGAAGCGAAAGAUCAUAUCAGGAGGAGCAGCAGCUGGUGCGGUCAGAACGUGUACUGUAUGCAAUGUGGUGUGCAAUAGUCAAACAGUUUUUAGUUCUCAUCUUGCUGGUCAGAAGCAUGCUGCUAUGGUGAAGAAACAGGCAGAAGUUGGAGUAGCAAUUAGAGCCUCUCAACAGAUAACCGCUUCUUAAAACCUGAAUUCGGCUCAAAUAUCUUCAUUAUGGCUCAAAGAUCUUCAUUGGUGGAGUUGUAUAGCUUACUUUUGCACAAUUGUCAAGCAGCACCAACAGCAAUAGCACAGCUCAUUUGAUGUUGAGGACUCCUACAAAUUGGGACAAGAUGUAGAGAGGAAGAACUGAAAGAGGAAAAGUUGAAGGCAAAGGAAGAAGCAGAGGAUCUAGCUCAAGAACUGGCUGAGCUCAGAUACCGAAUGACAGGUUUGCUUGAAGAAGAGUGUAAGCGCUGUGCUUGCAUUGAACAAGCAUCUUUACAUAGAAUUGCUGAGUUAGAAAGCACAUGUAUUGAGGUUCAGAUUCGCAAUGUGUCUGUUACCAGUGAGAGGACACAUCUGAAGCGGGCAAAAUCGAUGAAAAUCCUUUGCUGCUCUCCGGCAUCUCAAUGAAGCAAGGUUCAGAGGUAGCAUCCCGAUGAUUACAUGGUAUUCCAGCUUCAGCUCUAACAUUUGUGGCUGUGGAAUUUCCGAGAGACCAUUCCAAUGAAGGAUUGAGUAAUGAUAAAAUAUGCAAGCAUGUUAGUAGAGAAAAGGAAUCGCAUUUACAUGGGGCAGUGUGAAGAACUUGCACUAAAUUGUUUCCCAUGCAUUUUCCUGUAUCCCUGUUUGAUUAUUUGGACGAGACUUGCAUAAAAUUUUCAUGUACCAUAUGUAUAAACAUUAGAAGAGAUUAGAAAGGAGGGGUCUUUUGUGUAAAAUUUUCUAGAUCUUAAUUCUUUUUCAUGUGCCUUAUGAAAGUCUCA